AUGAACGCUGGCAGCGUGCCUAAUACAUGCAAGUCGAGCGAACGGACGAGAAGCUUGCUUCUCUGAUGUUAGCGGCGGACGGGUGAGUAACACGUGGAUAACCUACCUAUAAGACUGGGAUAACUUCGGGAAACCGGAGCUAAUACCGGAUAAUAUUUUGAACCGCAUGGUUCAAAAGUGAAAGACGGUCUUGCUGUCACUUAUAGAUGGAUCCGCGCUGCAUUAGCUAGUUGGUAAGGUAACGGCUUACCAAGGCAACGAUGCAUAGCCGACCUGAGAGGGUGAUCGGCCACACUGGAACUGAGACACGGUCCAGACUCCUACGGGAGGCAGCAGUAGGGAAUCUUCCGCAAAGGGCGAAAGCCUGACGGAGCAACGCCGCGUGAGUGAUGAAGGUCUUCGGAUCGUAAAACUCUGUUAUUAGGGAAGAACAUAUGUGUAAGUAACUGUGCACAUCUUGACGGUACCUAAUCAGAAAGCCACGGCUAACUACGUG
rnacentral:rRNA from 1 species